AAUUAUCGUGUCACUCAUUAUU
rnacentral:miRNA from 2 species